UCAAUGGUGGGCUGGGCGGGGCAGCCUUCGGGCUGGCCGUGUCGAUGGUGCGGUAGUCCUAACCCUGUUCAGUCCAUCACCC
rnacentral:antisense_RNA from 1 species